rnacentral:rRNA from 1 species
CCUACGGGAGGCAGCAGUGAGGAAUAUUGGUCAAUGGGCGCGAGCCUGAACCAGCCAAGUAGCGUGAAGGAUGACGGCCCUACGGUUUGUAAACUCCUUUUAUAAAGGAAUAAAGUGAGGCACGUGUGCCGUUUUGUAUGUACUUUAUGAAUAAGGAUCGGCUAACUCCGUGCCAGCAGCCGCGGUAAUACGGAGGAUCCGAGCGUUAACCGGAUUUAUUGGGUUUAAAGGGUGCGUAGGUGGGUUGUUAAGUCAGUGGUGAAAGUUUGUGGCUCAACCGUAGAAUUGCAUUUGAUACUGGCAGUCUUGAGUACGGGUGAGGUAGGCGGAAUUCGUGGUGUAGCGGUGAAAUGCAUAGAUAUCACGAAGAACUCCGAUUGCGAAGGCAGCUUACUAGACUGCCACUGACGUUGAUGCACGAAAGUGUGGGUAUCAAACAGGAUUAGAUACCCGAGUAGUC